AUUGAACGCUGGCGGCAGGCCUAACACAUGCAAGUCGAGCGGGAUUUACCUUCGGGUAAUGAGAGCGGCGGACGGGUGAGUAAUGCUUGGGAAUCUACCUAGUAGUGGGGGACAACAGUUGGAAACGACUGCUAAUACCGCAUACGCCCUACGGGGGAAAGGGGGGGAUCUUCGGACCUCUUGCUAUUAGAUGAGACCAAGUCGGAUUAGCUAGUUGGUGGGGUAAAGGCCUACCAAGGCGACGAUCCGUCGCUGGUUUGAGAGGAUGAUCAGCCACACUGGGACUGAGACACGGCCCAGACUCAUACGGGAUGCAGCAGUGGGGAAUAUUGGACAAUGGGCGCAAGCCUGAUCCAGCCAUGCCGCGUGUGUGAAGAAGGCCCUAGGGUUGUAAAGCACUUUAAGUAGGGAGGAAGGUCUGGUAAUUAAUACUUAUCAGGAUUGACGUUACCUACAGAAUAAGCACCGGCUAACUCCGUGCCAGCCGCCGCGGUAA
rnacentral:rRNA from 1 species